CUCUGUAAUCACAAACACAACAACUAUGGUCUUGUUUAUUUCUUGUAUUUCAAUUAGAAUGUUGAAAUUUGAGAGUAACGCAUGAGCCAGAUACGCCAUUUUUGAGCUGAAAUCGUAUUUGGUUUGGGUGACAUUUUAAGAUGUUUAUUUAUUUUUCAGGUGACAUUUGUAUUGAACUGUAUUUAGUUAAUUAGAUUCGAGUAAUUUGUUUGGUGUUUUGUUCACGGCAUCUGAGGCCAAGACAUUCUUUUUUACCAUUUGAUCACGAAAAUUUUCUAAACACUUGAAUAGUUUUGAUUCCAUCCAAUACCCAAUUCUGUGUUUAGGGUAAUCAACGGUGCUGGAGGAUUGCUUCUAAAUUUAUGAAUUUAAUUAAUUUGUUACAAAAUUAAAUGGUUUGUUGAAGAAAAAUUUUAUUUGUCCCAUCAUGGUUUGGAUUUGUGGUUGCAAUUCUAGCUGCAGUAAAAUUUACAGUUGAUGCUGCUGUAAUUGUUGUAAAGGGCUAUAAAAUUGUAACAUCAGUGCCCGUAAUCUUGGUUGCAGAGUUUGAAAAAAAAGGUUCUGUUUGCUUUACGUUCUUAAUUCUUAUGGCCAAUUUUGACCUUUCAAGAAAGCCGGAGAUGUUUGCCGGACCGCAGUUCACCAACUCUCCGGUCACCAGCUGCCGUGUUUAGGAAAGGCGAAGGGAUGAGUUUACAAGAAUGAGAUUACAGCUUAGAAUUCCUGCGAUUGAAAGGGGUUUU